rnacentral:tRNA from 1 species
GCACGGGUGGCGGAAUGGCAGACGCAGUGGGUUUAGGUUCCACCGCCGAGAGGCGUAGGGGUUCAAGUCCCCUCCCGUGCACCA